AGGUUCCGGGAGGAACCGUGGGAGCCCAGCGUGUCUGUGCCGGGCGCUCUGGCACCUCGGGGCUGGGUCGCCGCCGCUGCUUGAAAGCUUUCGAGAGUCGCCGCUACGAGCCUCUGGUCAGCUUCAGUGGCGAUCGCUGCGAUGGCGGCUCCUGCGCAGCCCAAGAAAAUCGUGGCCCCCACGGUGUCCCAGAUCAACGCGGAGUUCGUCACUCAGCUAGCAUGUAAAUACUGGGCUCCUCAUAUCAAGAAGAAAUCACCGUUUGAUAUAAAAGUAAUUGAAGAAAUAUAUGAAAAAGAGAUCGUCAAAUCACGGUUUGCCAUCAGGAAAAUAAUGCUGCUGGAAUUUAGCCAAUACCUUGAAAAUUAUCUUUGGAUGAAUUAUUCUCCGGAAGUUUCCAGCAAGGCCUAUUUAAUGUCCAUCUGCUGUAUGGUGAAUGAGAAGUUCAGAGAAAAUGUCCCAGCCUGGGAGACCUUUAAGAAGAAACCAGACCACUUCCCAUUCUUUUUUAAGUGCAUCUUGAAAGCGGCCUUAGCUGAGACUGACGGCGAGUUCUCCCUCCACGAGCAGACACUGCUCCUGCUUUUCCUGGAUCACUGCUUCAAUAGCUUGGAAGUAGACUUGAUAAGGAGUCAGGUGCAGCAGCUUAUCUCGCUCCCGAUGUGGAUGGGCUUGCAGCCUGCACGAUUGGAAUUAGAAUUGAAAAAGACACCAAAGCUAAGAAAAUUCUGGAACCUGAUUAAAAAGAAUGAUGAAAAGAUGGACCCAGAAGCAAGAGAGCAGGCCUACCAAGAAAGAAGGUUUCUCUCCCGGCUCAUCCAGAAGUUCAUCUCCGUGUUGAAGUCCAUCCCGCUUUCUGAGCCUGUCACCAUGGACAAGGUUCAUUACUGUGAAAGAUUCAUCGAACUGAUGAUUGAUCUAGAGGCUCUACUCCCCACGAGGCGCUGGUUUAACACCAUCCUGGAUGACUCCCACCUUCUGGUUCACUGCUACCUCUCCAGUCUUGUUCACAGAGAAGAGGACGGCCAUCUGUUUUCCCAGCUUUUAGACAUGCUGAAGUUCUAUACUGGCUUUGAGAUUAACGACCAGACUGGAAAUGCUCUGACAGAGAACGAGAUGACCACGAUUCACUAUGACAGAAUUACAUCUCUGCAGAGGGCUGCCUUCGCACACUUCCCCGAGCUCUAUGACUUUGCCCUCUCCAAUGUGGCAGAAGUAGAUGCCCGAGAUUCCUUGGUCAAGUUUUUUGGGCCUCUCAGUUCAAACACACUCCACCAGGUGGCAUCAUACCUCUGCCUCUUGCCAACGCUCCCUAAAAAUGAAGACACAACUUUUGAUAAAGAGUUUCUUCUAGAAUUGCUGGUGUCUCGCCACGAACGCCGCAUCUCUCAAAUUCAGCAACUGAAUCAGAUGCCUUUGUAUCCAACUGAGAAAAUUAUAUGGGAUGAGAACAUCGUCCCUACUGAGUACUAUUCUGGGGAAGGCUGCCUUGCUCUCCCCAAGUUGAAUCUGCAGUUUUUGACUCUGCACGACUAUCUCCUGAGGAACUUCAAUCUCUUCCGCUUAGAGUCAACUUACGAAAUUAGACAAGACAUCGAGGACAGUGUCAGCAGAAUGAAGCCCUGGCAGUCUGAGUAUGGUGGCGUAGUGUUCGGUGGUUGGGCACGGAUGGCCCAGCCCAUUGUGGCUUUCACUGUAGUCGAGGUUGCCAAACCCAACAUCGGUGAAAACUGGCCAACCCGAGUUCGUGCAGAUGUCACCAUCAAUCUGAAUGUCAGAGACCACAUCAAGGAUGAGUGGGAAGGUCUUCGAAAGCACGAUGUAUGCUUUUUAAUUACUGUGCGUCCAACAAAACCUUACGGCACUAAGUUUGACAGGAGGAGACCUUUUAUUGAGCAAGUUGGUCUGGUGUACGUCAGAGGCUGUGAAAUCCAGGGCAUGCUGGAUGACAAAGGGCGAGUCAUCGAAGACGGACCUGAACCCAGACCCAAUCUUAGAGGAGAGUCAAGGACAUUUCGAGUAUUUUUGGAUCCAAACCAGUAUCAACAGGAUAUGACCAAUACGAUACAAAACGGAGCCGAAGAUGUGUAUGACACUUUCAAUGUCAUAAUGAGGAGGAAACCGAAGGAGAAUAACUUCAAGGCUGUGUUGGAGACGAUUCGGAAUCUGAUGAAUACUGACUGCGUGGUACCGGACUGGCUGCAUGACAUCAUUUUGGGCUAUGGGGACCCAAGUAGUGCCCAUUAUUCAAAAAUGCCCAAUCAGAUUGCCACCCUGGAUUUCAAUGACACUUUUCUCUCCAUUGAACAUUUAAAGGCCAGCUUUCCUGGUCAUAAUGUCAAAGUGACUGUGAGUGACCCAGCACUCCAAAUCCCCCCUUUCAGAAUAACGUUCCCAGUAAGAAGUGGAAAGGGGAAGAAAAGAAAAGAUGCAGACGGGGAAGAAGAUGACACAGAAGAAGCAAAGACCUUAAUUGUGGAGCCUCAUGUUAUUCCUAAUAGAGGCCCUUAUCCUUACAACCAGCCCAAACGUAAUACAAUCCAGUUCACUCAUACACAGAUAGAGGCCAUCCGGGCCGGAAUGCAGCCUGGACUCACCAUGGUUGUGGGCCCACCUGGUACAGGAAAAACAGAUGUUGCAGUCCAGAUCAUAUCCAACAUUUACCACAAUUUCCCAGAACAGAGGACUUUAAUUGUUACUCAUUCCAAUCAGGCUCUGAACCAGCUGUUUGAGAAAAUCAUGGCUUUAGACAUUGAUGAGCGCCAUCUCCUGCGUCUGGGUCAUGGAGAAGAAGAGCUAGAGACAGAGAAAGACUUUAGCAGGUAUGGAAGAGUUAAUUAUGUCCUAGCUCGAAGAAUAGAACUUUUAGAAGAAGUCAAACGGUUACAAAAGAGUCUGGGGGUUCCCGGAGAUGCUUCGUAUACCUGUGAAACUGCCGGCUAUUUCUUCUUAUAUCAGGUGAUGUCCCGCUGGGAAGAAUACAUGAGCAGAGUGAAGAACUCGGGGACUGCCUGCCCGGACGCUGCCCCGGACGCUGCACAGGUCGCCACGUUCUUCCCCUUCCAUGAGUAUUUUGCCAAUGCUCCUCAGCCCAUCUUUAAAGGCAGAUCUUAUGAGGAAGACAUGGAAAUCGCUGAAGGGUGCUUCAGGCACAUUAAGAAAAUCUUCACCCAACUUGAGGAGUUCAGAGCCUCGGAGCUGCUUCGCAGUGGACUGGACAGAUCCAAAUACCUCUUGGUAAAAGAAGCCAAAAUCAUCGCUAUGACAUGUACUCAUGCUGCCUUGAAACGACACGACUUGGUCAAGUUGGGUUUCAAGUAUGACAACAUUUUAAUGGAAGAGGCUGCUCAGAUUCUGGAGAUCGAAACCUUUAUCCCUCUACUUCUGCAGAAUCCUCAAGACGGAUUCAGCCGAUUGAAACGGUGGAUUAUGAUUGGCGAUCACCACCAAUUGCCUCCAGUCAUUAAGAACAUGGCCUUUCAGAAGUAUUCCAACAUGGAGCAGUCUCUUUUCACUCGCUUCGUCCGGGUUGGAGUUCCUACUGUGGACCUUGAUGCUCAAGGGAGAGCCAGGGCAAGCUUGUGUAACCUCUACAACUGGCGCUACAAAAACCUAGGGAAUUUGCCCCAUGUGCAGCUCCUGCCAGAGUUCAGCACAGCCAACGCGGGCCUGCUGUAUGACUUCCAGCUCAUCAACGUGGAAGACUUUCAGGGCGUGGGAGAGUCGGAGCCUAACCCUUACUUCUACCAGAACCUUGGAGAGGCAGAGUAUGUAGUGGCGCUCUUCAUGUACAUGUGCUUGCUUGGUUACCCUGCAGACAAGAUCAGUAUUCUAACAACCUACAAUGGACAGAAGCAUCUGAUUCGGGACAUCAUCAAUAGGCGCUGUGGGAAUAAUCCACUGAUUGGAAGGCCAAACAAAGUGACAACAGUUGACAGAUUCCAGGGUCAGCAGAACGAUUAUAUCCUCCUUUCGCUAGUGCGGACCAGGGCUGUGGGUCAUCUGAGGGAUGUGCGUCGCUUGGUGGUAGCCAUGUCAAGAGCCAGGCUUGGCCUUUACAUCUUCGCUCGAGUGUCCCUCUUCCAGAACUGCUUUGAACUGACUCCUGCUUUCAGCCAGCUCACUGCCCGCCCACUGCAUUUGCAUAUCAUUCCAACAGAACCCUUCCCAACCUCCAGAAAGGCUCUUCCUUCUCCGGCACUUCUCUUGCCAGAGCUGCAGACACUGGAUCAUGCUCGGAGUGUGGCUGUUUUCUUCCAGCUGCAGAGUUCACUGUUCUGCUCUUUUCACUGGAUGAAAUGUCCCAGAGAUCUAGGAAAUUUCAAUAAACAGACAGUUUUAUAAAUAUACUCAGUAAAACUAUUUUUCACUCCUCUAAAACGAACAAAAUAAGUUUGAUGUGUUUGUUCUAUGGUGGUGAUGUUAACUAUUUCUCUUUAAAGACAUUUCUGAUUGCUUGUCUGUUUGUUUCAUUUUUAAGAAAAGCCACUGAGAGAGAAAGCAGGAGGGAAGGGGGGGAGGGCUGUGGAACAGCAUCGCAAAGCUCUGAUGCCACACGGAUGCCUCCUGUGCAGCUCUCCAUUGGGUCUUUUAUAGACUUAGCAUUACAUGCCAGCUACUCUAAGGUGGGGUCCUUUUUUCCUGGAAAACUUGUCUUUAUACUGAUAGACUUCCACAUCAACCCCUACAGUAAAAGGAGAAGAUUUUAUGUAUGAUCAGUGAUUACAAAUAGGAAAGUUAUCAAUCGUCAAGGUGACUGAAAGAGAAGAACAGAUCUGUUUCCUUCACUUGCUUUGCUGAUUUACUGCUAGAGAGAUCUUUCUCAGCAAUUUUAAAUCCAUGAAAGUCCCCUCAUCCCACUGCAGACCACAGAAUCCAGCUCUCAGGGUGGUGCAGGUGAGGGGUCUGUGCUGCGACAGUGUCUCAGCAGAGCCGGACAGAUGCUGCAGAGCUUAAAAACGGGGAUUUGAAUAUUACAUCCAUGGGUGAUAGCUACAUGUUAAUAAUAAUAAAUGUUAACAUCUCAUGCUUCAGAAAAUAGAAAUAGGAGAAAUGGUUCUUGUAUUUUCAUUCUGAAACAUUGUAGAUUCUCUGGAUUCUAGACACGGGUAGAAAUUGUUGCCUUUAGACCAUGUUGAUUUAGUUCCUCUACUCAUGACGUCUCAUCUUACUCUUUGAUAUUAGUUUACAUACGAAAAUUCUUAGUUUACUUACCAGCCCAAAGAUGAAUUAAAACCUGACGACUAUGCAGUGUGUUGUCUUUCAUUUCUCUGAAUUUUAUGAGGUAGUUUCUGGACUCUGGCGUUGGAUUUCAUGACCUCCAUACUCUAGCGGUUGUUACAGAUUCAGAAAGGGGCUUAUGCUGAAAUGAUAGCUGUGGUGGGUUUAUUCACUAAACGCUUCUCUCUCUCUCUGCUGUCUUCUAGAAUGGAGAGAGACCACCUCAUGAAGUGCAGGUAAUUAAGAACAUGCCCCAGAUGGCGAACUUUGUGUACAACAUGUAUAUGCAUCUGAUACAGACUACCCAUCAUUAUCAUCAGACUUUCUUACAACUGCCACCUGCCAUGGUGGAAGAAGGUGAGGAAGGUCAGAGCCAAGAAACAGAAAUGGAAGCAGAAGAAGAAACCGUGUCUGCUCAAGGUAACCUCACACCCAGUCCAGCGGAUGCCAGCCUGAGUCAAGAGACCCCAGCCGCUCAGCCUGACUGCUCCAGUCAGACAGAAGACACCUCUGCCCCGUGUGACAUUGCUACUGCAGCUGAGCCUGUCUCUGCAGCAGCAGAAGCUGCCACCCCACAAGAUGCAGAGUCUGUCCCCACAGAGACCGAGUAGCCUAUCUGCAGCACAGCCUGGGACAUUCCAUUUAUAAACUCUAAGUGAGGUUACCUUUUGAAUUUCAUACUUAGUUACUGUAUGACUUUAAUAACACCAGCUAAUUUCAGUACUUAUGGUUUUUAGCUGGUUUCCUUAUUUUGUAUAUUUUUUAUUUGUAAAUAUUAAAAAUAACUCUAGUUUCAUUUGUUCAUUCAGAAGAGAAAAUAAUUUUGAUUGCUGAAUGUAUCUGAGGUAAUCCCUGCAUUAAAAUCAUUUUCUAUCAAA